rnacentral:rRNA from 1 species
GACGAACGCUGGCGGCGUGCCUAGUACAUGCAAGUAGAACGCUGAAGGAGGAGCUUGCUUCUCUGGAUGAGUUGCGAACGGGUGAGUAACGCGUAGGUAACCUGCCUGGUAGCGGGGGAUAACUAUUGGAAACGAUAGCUAAUACCGCAUAAGAGUAGAUGUUGCAUGACAUUUGCUUAAAAGGUGCAAUUGCAUCACUACCAGAUGGACCUGCGUUGUAUUAGCUAGUUGGUGGGGUAACGGCUCACCAAGGCGACGAUACAUAGCCGACCUGAGAGGGUGAUCGGCCACACUGGGACUGAGACACGGCCCAGACUCCUACGGGAGGCAGCAGUAGGGAAUCUUCGGCAAUGGACGGAAGUCUGACCGAGCAACGCCGCGUGAGUGAAGAAGGUUUUCGGAUCGUAAAGCUCUGUUGUAAGAGAAGAACGAGUGUGAGAGUGGAAAGUUCACACUGUGACGGUAUCUUACCAGAAAGGGACGGCUAACUACGUG